UCCCUGGUAGUCCAGUGGCUAAGACUCUGCAUUCUUAAUGCAGGGGUGGUCCAGGUUCAACCCCUGGUCAGGGAA